UACGGGGGGGGCAAGCGUUGUUCGGAAUUACUGGGCGUAAAGGGCUCGUAGGUGGCCAACUAAGUCAGACGUGAAAUCCCUCGGCUUAACCGGGGAACUGCGUCUGAUACUGGAUGGCUUGAGUUUGGGAGAGGGACGCGGAAUUCCAGGUGUAGCGGCGAAAUGCGUAGAUAUCAGGAGGAACACCGGUGGCGAAGGCGGAUCUCUGGGCCAUUACUGACGCUGAGGAGCGAAAGCGUGGGGAGCGAACAGG
rnacentral:rRNA from 1 species